rnacentral:lncRNA from 1 species
AUCAUACGCUGGCACCACACGCCAGUACACCACUCCAUGGAAUGCCUGCUGUUGGACACUUGCAGAGCUCUGCCACCAAAGAACCUCUUGCACUGGAAAUUGGGUACUUCUCUAGGAUCUUAUGUGUGCUUGCUGUUUGAAGCUGCAGAAAAGUGAAUAAUCAAUUAAGUAUUGAUUUCUUGUAAGAUUUGGUAAAUUUCAAAGGCAAGACAAAGAGGAUGGCUUAAGGAAACACUGCAGGGACUUGGCGUAAAUUAGACAACUAACGGAGAUGCAGAAUAAAAUAACACCUCAAGUGAAGAUUUCCUUGGAAGAAUUAGCACUAGCUAUUGGAAGACAACGGUGGAUUUAAUCAAAAUAGAAGGCAUGCAAGAAUUUCACCCGUGAACGAGAAAAAGGAGCUAAUUAUAACCACCUUUUAAAUGGAGCUAAUUUGACUGAAUGGAUGCAAAUGUGCUUUACUUAUGGAUGAAGAAACAAGCCUUUCUGCAUGAUCUUGGGAUCAUUUUAUCUGCUAAGCAUUGCAGCUCCUGUGCCCUUCUACACAUUUUUAUUUCCAGAGAAGGUGAAGUCUUCUUAUGAAGUGGAUUUGCUCCUUCAUCUUUCAGUACAUGAUGUCAGUCUCAAGCAAUAGCAGGCCUUUUAUUUCCCAGAAGAUACUCAUCACUGUGGGCAAACUAAUGACACAUGUUAAGGAAUUCAGUCUUAUGGAAAUCAUCUAAAGGUUUAGAAAUUAGCCACUGAUGAUCUCUAUCAAGAAGAAAGACUAUGCUAUCCUCUCAUUUGCCUUCUGAACAGCAAGAAUGAAAAUUCCAAAAUCAUAGUGGGUUUUUCAAUAUCCACACAGAAAAUGACCGUUUCGUAGUCUGGUUAUUUCAACCUUCACAAUGACCAUUUCAGUGAAGUAUUGUGACCUAACUGCCUAGAAAUCAUCUGCAACUCCACUGAAAAAAAGCUCUCUAUGGAAAGAAUAAUUCAGUGUCUCUGGAUUACUCGUGGAUGUUUGAGUAGCAAUUUCACGAUCAACCUAUUGUUUUACCUCCAACACAACUUAACCCACAUUUCCAAGGAUGAAAAUUAACUUCUUAAGAAAAAACUACUAUACAAUAAGCAAUCAAAAGUCUUGGAAGAAGGCUAGGUGGAAGAUUAAGCUAGUGUCGCUAAGCUGGAGUGGAUCGUCAUAAAUCACACAAAUGAAAAUAAAAGGAACAUUUUUAAAAUGAGAAUGGUAUCUUCGCUGUUAGCAACGUAGAGAUAUAGCUAAUGGAAACUGAAAAUGGGAAGCAUUUGUAUUCACUGUUUAAAAAGUGUGCAUAAACAUAUAUAUAACCAACAAUUGGAAGCCAAUAAUCAUCAGUAUUGAUUAUUAUUAAAGGGUUGUUUAAAUAAAUUUUUGUACAUCAACACAAGAGAAUACAGUGCAACAAAAGGUGAUGAAAUAGUCUGUUUAUCUGAUCCUACCCAAUAAUGAAUGCGAAUGCAUCUUAUUAAUACAUAUAGCAAUGUAACAUGUAUGUUAUAUAGAUAUUGAAAGUGAGUUCCAGAUACGAUAAGGAAAAAGCAAGAUAUAGAGAAAGCAUAUUAUAUGUUUCCAUGUGCAUUUGGAUAUGUAUGUAUUUUAUUGCAAUAUGUAAAAAAAAAGGGUCAAAGACAUAACUGCUCACUUAAAAGCAAACUCCAUUUCACUUUUGCUUCUUUUGACAAAUUUUAACAAACCAUAUCAAUGUUAAACCAGAAGAUAAUUUAGUUAAUGUAGAACAAUGAUUUAAAGAUUUAUAUGACAUAUUUUUGAUAUUCUAGUCAUGAAAAUCAUAAUUACCAUAGAAACAGCUUACUAUAAUGGCUCAUGCAGUAUAAAACUAAAGAAAAGCCAUUUCAUAUUGCAAGCUAUGAAAUAAUUCAUUUGGGAUAAACAACCAAGCAGUACUGCUGGCAGGAUUGCCAGGUAAAACUCUUGUGGUUAUUUGCUGACUCAAUCAAAAGUAAAAGGUUAUAUUAUUCAUUCAAUGUCAGAAAUUAAGAUAUUUGUUUGUGGUCAGAUUUUCUUGCUGUUUAAGUAAAAUACUUUGCUGUUUAAAAUGAAAUUUUACAUAGUAUUCUAGAGUUAUAUAAAUAGAUUGUUACAGAUAUUAAAGUAUAAAAUUUUAGAUGCUAA